AAAAGCUGCUUUCCGCGUGGUAAAUUCAAAGCAGCGGCCUGUGACUGUGGUUGGAUUUAGUGAAUUGACCACUUGCGGCCCUUGGUCUAGAAGGCACCUACGGAACGGUAGAACCGCAAGGAAUUGCAAAGGUUAGCUUUGUAUUCUUCAACACUGGCCAGAUUUUCCCUAGCCCCAGCCUGAUAAAUGAAGGCUUCUAGUUGCUUUUGAGUGGCGCCAUCUUCAGUGCUUUAUGUUGUAUUGCUCGAGUUUGCACGUACAGACGCGCGGAUGUGUGUCCUUAAUCAUCUCUUGGAAACGUCUACUCUGAAAGUGUCGACCAGACUCAGGAGCCUGAAGAAAAAAAAUAAUUCAGUCGGGUCUGGUCGUUCAUUCAUGCGAGCACUCAAACAUCUUAUGAGCGUUCACUGUGUCAGGUAGGAGAAACAGGACUAGUAUUCACUAACAAGCACAAAAGCCUUAUCGUCAAGAAGCUUUAUAGACUAGCGGGAGAGAGAGGUCUUGUGGGUUUGAGACAGAGUCUCGCUCUGUCAUCCAGACUGGAGAGUGCCAUGGCGUGACCUGGGCUCACUGCAACCUCUGCCUCCCGAGCUCAAGCGAAUCUCCUGCCUCAGCCUCCAAAGAAGCCAGGACUUAAAGACUAGCCCUGGCGACACAGCAAAACCCCUAUGUCUAUAUAUCUAUAUAUACACACACAUAUAUAAUAUAUAAAUAAAAUAUUUCAUAUAUAUAAAAGAAAAAAUAAAUUUCAAAAAUGGGAUAGAAUAAUAUCUGACAUUGAAAAUCGGCCUUUUUGUUUUUUUGAGACGGAGUCUCGCUCUGUUGCCCAAGCUGGAUGAAGUGGCGCUAUCUCAGCUCAUUGCAACCUCUGCCUCCAGCGAUUCUCAUCCUUCAGCCUCCCGAGUAGCUGGGAUUACAGGCCUGCACCACGACACCCAGCUAAUUUUUGUAUUUUUAGUAGAGAUGGGGCUUCACC
rnacentral:lncRNA from 1 species